rnacentral:lncRNA from 1 species
UGGCAAUAGGAGAUAUUGUCUGUGUGUGUACUCAUACAUAUUAAAUAUGAUGGAGAGAGGGUUAUUGUGAAAUAGGAGGUAAGAGGAGCAGCGUCUGAGAUAGCUCAGUAGAUACCUGCUUCGGUGGCUCAGUCCAGUGGGACACGGGAUCUAGAAAUCACCUUGGAAACCCUUGCUAGCUCAGCCCACACUUCUAAAAGUAUGCAAGGCAAGACCACCAGACAAGAGACUUUUACCGGGCCAACUGUUGCAAAAUGAUUGGAGGCAACACAGGAGAAUUUCCCAGCGCAUCGAAUCUCCUGGAAAAUAGAAGAGCUGGUCCAUGGAUACAAAGCCCCACAGAGAAGACAGUAGGAUGUGCCUCAAAACAGAGAUGAUGAUGUGAUCUUGUUGAUGAGUGCAGGACUAACAUAGAGACAUUUAGCAAAAGACACAAGGACAUCUCUUUAUUGGAGGGCAUUCUCAAAUAUCAC